UACGUAGGAGGCGAGCGUUGUCCGGAGUUACUGGGCGUAAAGGGUGCGUAGGCGGUUGGGGAAGUCUGUCGUGAAAUCUCCGAGCCCAACUCGGAAACUGCGUCGGAUACUAUUCAACUCGAGGAAUGGAGGGGAGACUGGAAUUCUCGGUGUAGCAGUGAAAUGCGUAGAUAUGCGGAGGAACACCGAUGGCGAAGGCAAUCCCCUGGACCUGUACUGACGCUCAUGCACGAAAGCGUGGGGAGCAAACAGG
rnacentral:rRNA from 1 species